UGGGGGAUAUUGCACAAUGGGCGAAAGCCUGAUGCAGCGACGCCGCGUGGGGGAUGAAGGCCUUCGGGUUGUAAACCUCUUUCGCUAUCGAACAAGGCCCGCUUAGGGUGGGUUGAGGGUAGGUGGAGAAGAAGCGCCGGCUAACUACGUGCCAGCAGCCGCGGUAAUACGUAGGGCGCGAGCGUUGUCCGGCAUUAUUGGGCGUAAAGGGCUUGUAGGCGGCUUGUUGCGCCUGCUGUGAAAACGCGGGGCUUAACUUCGCGCGUGCAGUGGGUACGGGCAGGCUUGAGUGUGGUAGGGGUGACUGGAAUUCCAGGUGUAGCGGUGGAAUGCGCAGAUAUCUGGAGGAACACCGAUGGCGAAGGCAGGUCACUGGGCCAUUACUGACGCUGAGGAGCGAAAGCAUGGGUAGCGAACAGG
rnacentral:rRNA from 1 species